rfam:Sus scrofa chromosome 6.
UCCCUGGUGGUCUAGAGGGUAGGAUUCAGCGCUUUCACUGCUGUGGCCUGGGCUCAAUCCCUGGUCUGGGAA